rnacentral:rRNA from 1 species
UACGGAGGGAGCUAGCGUUGUUCGGAAUUACUGGGCGUAAAGCGCACGUAGGCGGCUUUUUAAGUCAGGGGUGAAAUCCCGGAGCUCAACUCCGGUACUGCCCUUGAAACUGGGAAGCUAGAAUCUUGGAGAGGCGAGUGGAAUUCCGAGUGUAGAGGUGAAAUUCGUAGAUAUUCGGAAGAACACCAGUGGCGAAGGCGACUCGCUGGACAAGUAUUGACGCUGAGGUGCGAAAGCGUGGGGAGCAAACAGG